UACGUAGGGUGCGAGCGUUAAUCGAAUUACUGGGCGUAAAGUGUGCGCAGGCGGUCUCGCAAGUCAAGUGUGAAAGCCCCCGGGCUUAACCUGGGAACUGCGCUUGAAACUACGAGACUCGAGUGUGGCAGAGGAAGGUGGAAUUCCACGUGUAGCGGUGAAAAUGCGUAGAGAUGUGGAGGAACACCGAUGGCGAAGGGCA
rnacentral:rRNA from 1 species